CGCGCCUCUGUCCUCUAGCAAGCAUUGUCGAUGUUCACCCUCCCAUUGCAAAGAAAGCGAUAGAGAUGUUCACUCUCCAAUUUGCCAUUUCCUUUUGAGUGAGAGCGAGAGGAAUGAAAUCGAGUUUUGAGUGAGGGAGAGAGGAAUGAAAUCAAGUUGCACAGAGCUUUUGAUCAGGUCGUAAAAAGCGGCUAGAUCAUGAAAACUACCUGUUCCUUUUUUAGAAUAUUCACAGAAUCCAUUUAAGAGGCCUAUUUCAUCUUCAUCUGUCAAAAGUCGCUGAAAAAACUGUUAAGAAUCAUCGAAGAGCUUCGUCUCUGGCUCACUGUCAUGGCCAUCAACAAGGGUUUUAGAGGUUUUUUGGCGUUCUUCGUCGUCCUUGAUGGGGGUUAUGAAUUUCUCAUAGCCAAUUGUGGCACAAAUUGAGGGGAAAGAGGGCGAGGGGAAUCAGAAGAAGAGGAGAGGGAAUAAUUUUUCUGAUUUCAUUGAUAGAAAAACCGCCCGGUUCUCUCUAAGUCUUAUAUAACUUUACAUAUAAUUCAGGGGAACAAAUUUAAUUAUAUUUUGUUAUUAGCGAUGGUUUACAUACUUGAUGGAGGUGGCCACUAAAAUGGAGGAUUGAUGGAAUUUUCAUAUGUAUUUACGUUCAUCUUAGAUUAAGAAAGUUGGGUUGUGAUCAGGCAUAAGUUUUGACUUUUGAAAAUUUGGGUGGAGAUUCAACUAUCAAGGUUGAGAUCAAGAAUUGGGUCUUUUAUUAAUUGUGAGCCUCUAUUAUGGGAUCUUCACAAUUUGUUUUGUUGCUGGUUUGGGCUUUAUAUUUUUGGGGUUAUGGUGAAUGCCUAAGGCCACCAUCUGUGACAAUUGGGGCUGUUUUUACUUUGAACUCCACCAUUGGAAGAGUUGCAAAGGUUGCAGUUGAGACAGCAGUUGAUGACAUCAAUGCAAAUAGCAAAAUUCUUGGAGGAACCAAACUGAAACUUUUCAUAGAGGACUCUAACUGCAAUGGUUUCCUAGGAACAGUCAAUGGAUCCGUUGAAAAAUUUAGAUGGAUCACACCGUUUCAGGUUGUGUGUCAUCUCCCACCUGCGCAAUUGUAGACAACAUAGGUGACACCAAUGAGCUCAUGGAGCAGGUUCCUUAUCUUGCAACCCAUCCUAGAAAAUUCACAGAAAUGCAGGAUGGAGAACUUGACUCCUCAACCAAAGUCUUAGAAACAAAUGUACCCCAUGUAGAAAUGAAGUUUUCUUCAGAGGAAGAUGCAAUGGAUUACUAUAAGGCUUAUGCAUUAGCCAAAGGUUUUGGUAUCCGUAAGGGCACUACCCAUAAUAAAAAAGGUGAAAGGAUUCAUAGGGAAAUUAUUUGCUCUAAGGAAGGAUUUCGCAAAGUAAAAGAUCAUGUAAGUGAAAAGGAACUUCCUAAAUCAAGGUGUGGGUGUAAGACUAAGCUGGGAAUCACUAGAAAUGCGGACAAUGAAUGGGUUGUGACUAGGUUUAUUGAUGAUCACAAUCACGAUCUAGUCAGUCCAAGAAAAGCUAGUCUAAUUUGCUGCCACCGAACAUUGUCUAGUGGUACAAAGUUGCUGCUAAAUUCAAUGAGUUCGACAAUGGUUAAGCCAAGACAUAUUCAUGACAUUUUCAUUGAGAAAGUUGGAGGGAUUGAGAAUGUCACAUGUACACAAAAGGACAUCGAAAAUGAAAUUACUAGUACUAAAAGAAAACUAAGAGGAGAAGAUGGUAGUCUAAUUAUGCAAUGGCUCUAUAAAAUGAAAGAAUCAAAUCCAUCUUUUUUCUAUAGAUUGAAAUUAGAGGAAGACGAUCACAUUCUCAGCAUCUUCUUGGUAGAUGCGAAUGUAAAGUUUUUGAUCAAUGCUUCUCUGAUGUGAUUACAUUUGAUACCACAUACAAAACAAACUCUUUUAGUAUGUCCUUUGCACCCAUACUUGGUGUAAAUCGCAAUUUCAAUACAACAUUCUUUGGCUUUGUACUCAUAUGUGAUGAGAAGGUAGAAUCAUUUGUUUGGGUAUUUGAAAAUUGGUUAGAAGCAAUAGGUGGACAACAAUUGGGUGUUAUUCUCACCGAUCAAGACCAUGCAAUUACAGCCGCAGUGAGACAAGUUUUUUACCAGAGUGAGCAUCGUUACUGUAAGUAGCAUAUAUAUGUCACGUCUUGCUCAUGCAUUCUUCUUUUUCAGAUACCUUCAGGGGUUGUAUAACUAGCCCAACAAUAGAAGAAUUUGAAUUGGGAAGGAAAUUAAUGAUUGAGAACUAUGAGUUGGAAAGCAAUGAAUGGCUAAAUAGACUUUAUGGUUGUUGCAUGUAAUGGGUGGAUGCAUACUUGACUGGCAAGUCACAACGGGUAUGACUUCUACCCAAAGAAGUGAAUGGAUGAAUAAGCAUUUCAAGAUGUACUUGACAUCCAAAACAAGCCUACGCACAUUAUUGGAAAUAUGUGUCAAGGUGCAAGAUAAGAAGGUAUGAAAAGAAAAGAAAAACAACUUAAAAGACAUUACAACUACUCCAAUCUUAAGAACAACUUCUUUAUUUGAGUCACAGGCAUCAAAAAUCUAUACUCAAAAGAUUUUGAAGAUAUUUGUGGAAGAGGUUGCCAAUUGUAUGAAUUUUAUGAGUGAGUGAGUUGAUGAAAAUGGACAGCUUGCCACUUUUAAGGUGGCAGAUAUGCGAACCAAAUCUAGAUCAUACUUGGUGGAAUUCAAUCCCCAUGAGAAGAGGGCUUCUUGCAAUUGUCACUUAUAUGAGAGGAUGGGCCUUCUUUGCAGGAGAGGAUGGGCCUUCUUUGCAGGUACGUGUUGAAGAUUUUUAUGAUGAAAAAUAUUUUUGAAAUCCCUUAUACUUAAUGAGGCGUUGGUCAAAGGACAUAAAGAGGGGGUGUUUUAUUGAUGAAAGUGGCAAACAAUUUCAUGAUCCAUCUGCACUACCACGCUCCAUUCGAUAUAACAAUGUCUUGCAGGCUGUUUGAUACAUCGCUGAGCGUGCGUCAGAAAGUGUGGAGGUUCAUGAUUUUGUAUUAUCUUUAAUACACAAUGAUAUCAUAGAGAUUGAUGGUAAAUUCGUUUGUAAGCGAGGUUCACAGGUUGAUACCAUGACCCAUGUCAAUGAUGAGAGGAGAGCUUCUAGAUCUACUGACACACCAAAUGGAAGUUACAACUGCCAAAAUGUCCUUGAUCCUCUACGAGCACGGGCAAAUGGACGAUCAACAAAUGCAAGAAAAAAAGCUUGAUUAGAGGAAUGGAAGCCAAUGGAAAAGUCUAGAAAAUGUGUAGUUUGCCAGAGCACUGAACAUGACAGAAGAAAUUGUCCACCAUUCAUUCGUGAAAAGGUUAUUUCGAAGUCCGCAAUAAGAUUUUGUCUCAUAAGAGCGUGGGACAUGAGCAUUGAGGGGUCAAUAGUGGAUCUUCAUAACCGCAUGAGAUCAGGCAAAACUUUUAACAAUUAAGAUCUUGAUUGCUGAAAAAGGACUAUUCAGGCAAUGAGUGAUUUAUGUAUUCAUGCAUGCGUUUGCAUGGAGGUUGUUGAGAAGGGGACAAUAAUGUAGUUUUUAGCGCAAGGAAGAUGAAUUGGUCGAUAUGAAGGCUCAAAUGUUCGAUGAUACGACUAUUUGGGCUCCUUUUCUUGGAGUUGUUAGCUGAGAAAGUAUGGAGCCAGUGAACAUGGUUGGACUUGGUAUAUCAGUUCACUUUUUAGUACUGUUUUUUCUCUUUCUUCUUCUUUUUUCUUUUUCUUGGUAAUGGAGGGGUGAUUGCAGGGGCUGGUCAUUUAUUGUUUGUACUAAAUACAUAAUUAUGAAGCACUUAUACAGAAAGCCUUUUUGUUGUGUCAAACGCCUCCCCUGCCUAUGCCUUUCUCUUUGGCGCACAAAAGCAUACAAAAACAAAGGACAAGUCGAGCUUUUACUCAGUUGCUUGUAAGUGUUCAAGAUGGAGGAAUGGAAUUCAUUUGUUGGGCACA